rnacentral:lncRNA from 1 species
AAAAACAAAAAAACAAAUCAAGCUUCAUCCACCACAUAGUCCUAAUGCAUGCCACCUGGCUUGUACCGUUUCAAGAACAUAUGAUUUAUCUAAAUGUAGGCCAAGAAUCUUGAAUUUGUUGCAAGCUUAAAAGAACAGAUUAACACCAAAAAACUAAGUAACAAAUCAACCUCAUGUGCACAAACUCCCUACCAGCUGCUACUAUGCAAAUGUCUCUUUAUUCUAAUUAACAACCAACUAUUUCUUCUUAUUUACCUUGUUGGCCAGAUCCUCAAAGUCUCUCUUCAAUGAUUUCAGCUCUUCUUCCAAUCUGUGCAAACCCUUUUCGACUCUAUAUUGAUGUCUUUUGUCGUAGUAUCUUUCUGCCGCUGCUUGUUCUUCGGCCUCCACCUUCUUUUUAUGUUCGUAAAACAUACAUACCAGGCUCGCGAUUGAUCCACCCACUGCCAAUGCAGCAACCGGCUUAGACUGCAAGCGCAAGAAAUAAUGUUGUAAGAAAAAAGUUAUCAAGAACUGACGUUCUUGUUAAAAAAGAAACGAUUUCAACCUGCUUUACGUAAAUCGUCGUGGU